UUGGUAAUUAUCACAAAAUCAGGUAAGCUCAUCAUGUAUCUAAUCCCACCUAGAUAUUUCUACAAUUGGUCCAAUUGUCUCUUGAGCAUUCUUGCUUCUUUAUUUGGAGGUCGAUUGAAUCGUCAUGUAUCUUGUUCUUUUUUUAAAUCCUUGAACUUCUGAGGUCUCGUCUCUGUAGUAGACCAAUUAGUUAACAUACCACCAAGCCAUUUUCUAUUUACAUAAUGACAUUGAGCUUCUAUAGUAGCUAAUGCUACUAACUUGAUAUUUUGUACUGACUAUCGGGAAUUGUGUUCGCCUACCUUCUAUAUCAAAUGCCAAAUCACAAUCUUCUAAUAAAGAACGAGCAGUUUUAGCCAGAUUUAUAAUAUGAGUAUCUUUACGCUCUGUAAAAAUGUAAGGUGCCCCAAGUAGCAUGGGGCACGUGGAAUCUUGUGUGAAUUAGCAAGGACCAUCUUGCAAGGCUAAAUACUCCUGGGGAUCGAUAGUGAAGUAGUACAGUGAGGGAAAGGUGAAAAGAACCUCCAUCGGGGAGUGACACAAAACAUGAAACCGUAAGCUCCCAAGCAGUGGGAGGAAAAUGAUAUCUCUGACCGCGUGCCUAUUGAAGAAUGAGCUGGUGACUUAUAGGCAAUGGCUUGGUUAAGGGAACCCACUGGAGUCAUAGCGAGAGUGAGUCUUCAUAGGAAAAUUGCCACUGCUUAUGGACCCAAACCUGGGUGAUCUAUCCAUGACCAGGAUGAAGCUUAGGUGAAACUAAGUGGAAGUCUGAACCGAAUGAUGCUGAAAAAUCAGCAGAUGAGUCAUGGUUUGGGGUGAAAUCCUAGUCAAACCCAGAGCUAGCUAGUUCUCCCUAAAAUGUGUUGAGGCAUAAUAGUUGAUUGGACCAUCUAGGGGUAAAGCACUGUUUCGGUACAGGCCGCGAGAGAGGUACCAAAUUGAGGAAAACUCUGAAUACUAGAUUGCCCCAAUAAAAGGGGUAAAGGUCAGCCAGUGAGAUGAUGGGGGAUAAGAUUCAUCAUCGAGAGGGGAACAACCCAGAUCAUCAGCUAAUGCCCCUAAAUGACCACUUAGUGAUGAAGGAAGUACGAGUGCAAAGACAACCAAGAGGUUUUCCUAGAAGCAUCCAACCUUGAAAGAGUGCGUAAUAGGUCACAGAUCGAGCGAUCUUGCACUGAAGAUGAAUGGAACUAAGAGAUAUGCCAAAGCUGUGGGAUGUAAAAAUACAUUGGUAGGGGAGAGUUGCUCCUCAAGGGGAAGCACCGACACGAGAAGGUUUGGACGAAGCGGAAGAAAGAAUGUCGUCUUGAGUAACACAAACAUUGGUGAGAAUCCAAUGCCUUGAAAACCUAAGGGUUCCUCCGCAAGGUUCAUCCAUGGAGGGUGAUUAAAGGCAUAAGAUCACACUGAAAGGCAUAGUCGAUGGACAACAGGUAAAUAUUCUUGUACUAGCCCUUGUUGGUCCUAAGGGAUAGAGGAGGCUAGGUUAGCCGAAAGAUGGUUAUCGGUUCAAGGAUGCAAGGUGACCCUGCUUUUUGUAGGGUAAGAAGGGGUAGAUAAAAUGCCUCCAGUCAAUGUCCGAGUACCAAGUGCUACAUUGCUGAAGUAACCCAUGCCAUACUCCCAGGAAAAGGUUGAACGACCUUUAACAAAUGGGUACCUGUACCCGAAACUGACACAAGUAGGUAGGUGGAGAAUACUUAGGGGCGCGAGACAACUCUCUCUAAGGAACUUGAAAAAAUAGCCCCGUAACUUCAGGAUAAGGGGUGCCUCCUCAGAAGGUCGUAGUGACUAGGCCCGGGUGAAUGCUUACCAAAAAAACAGGUCUCUGCAAAGUUGUAAGACCAUGUAUGGAGGUUGAUGCCUACCUAGUGCUGGAAGGUUAAGGAAGUUUGUGACCUAAUGACAGGGAAGCCAGUGACCGAAGCCCUGGUGAAUGGAAGUCGUAACUAUAACAGUUCUAAGGUAGAGAAAUUCCUUGUCAGGUAAGUUUUGACCUGCACGAAAGGCGUAAUGAUCUUGGCACUGUCUUGGAGAGAGACUCGGUGAAAUAGAAAUGUCUGUGAAGAUCUAGACUACUUGCGCCUAGACAGAAAAACCCUAUGAAGAUUUACUGUUCCCCAGGAUUGUCUUUGGGUUCUUCUUACGUAGCUUAGGUAGAAGGUGAAGAAGGCUCCCUUCUAGGGGGGCUUGAGCCACCAAUGAGAUACCACUCUGGAAGAGCUAGAAUUCUAACCUUGUGUCAGGACCUAUGGGCCAAGGGGCAGUCUCAGGUAGACAAUUUCUAUGGGGUGUAGGCCUCCCAAAAGGUAACGAAGGAGUUAAAAGGUUUCCUCAAGCCAUACAGAAAUCGACCCUCGAUUGAAAAGGAAGAAGGGAUAUUGAUUGCAAGAACCACCCGUUGAGCAAGGAUGAAAUUCGGCCUUAGUGAUCUGAUGGUGUCUAGUGGAAGGGUCGUCGCUCAAUGGAUAAAAGUUACUCUACGGAUAACAGGUUGAUCUUCCCCAAGAGUUCACAUCAACAGAAAGGUUUGGCACCUCGAUGUCAGCUCUACGCCACUUGGGGCGGUAGUACAUUCCAAGGGUUGGGUUGUUCGCCCAUUAAAGCGGUACAUGAGCUAGGUUUAGAAUGUCAUGAGAUAGUUCGGUCCAUAUCUGGUGGGGGCAUUAGAGCAUUGAGAGGACCUUUACCUAGUACAAGAGGACCGGGAAGGAUGCACCUCUAGUGCACCAGUUAUCUUGCCCAUGGUAGACGCUGGGUAGCCAAGUGCAUAUCGGAUAACUACUGAAAGAAUAUAAGUAGGAAGCCCACCCCAAGAUGAGUUCUCUCUUAUUCUUACUUCCCUAAGAGCCCUAGUCGUGAACACGGCUAGGACAAUGAUGGGUUCUCUGUCAUUGCAGGGGAUGGAGUGACAAAAGUAUUGAAAAUAUAAGAUAAGGUCACGAUGAGGUGAGUCAUUUAUCAUUAGGAUAGGUGUCAAGUGG
rnacentral:rRNA from 1 species